ACGACUCUCGGCAACGGAUAUCUCGGCUCUCGCAUCGAUGAAGAACGUAGCGAAAUGCGAUACCUGGUGUGAAUUGCAGAAUCCCACGAACCAUCGAGUCUUUGAACGGAAGUUGCGCCCGAGGCCACUCGGCCGAGGGCACGCCUGCCUGGGUGUCACGC
rnacentral:rRNA from 1 species